GUGCCAGCCGCCGCGGUAAUACCGGCAGCUCGAGUGAUGUCCAAUAUUAUUGGGCCUAAAGCGUCCGUAGCUGGCCGCGCAAGUCCGUCGGGAAAUCCACCUGCCCAACAGGUGGGCGUCCGACGGAAACUGCACAGCUUGGGACCGGAAGGCUCGAAGGGUACGUUCGGGGUAGGAGUGAAAUCCCGUAAUCCUGGACGGACCGCCGAUGGCGAAAGCACGUCGCGAGAACGGAUCCGACAGUGAGGGACGAAAGCCAGGGUCUAGAACCGGAUUAGAUACCCCAGUAGUCC
rnacentral:rRNA from 1 species